CGAGUGCGGUCGAUCCGGACGAGCCGUAGCGCCACGCCGCCUUAUCCGCCCUCUGCCUGCUCUAUGCGCCCGCCCUCCGUCACGUCCGCCUUGCCUCAGCUUCGAGUUUCCCGCGCCACCGCGUCGCCGGAACUUCUUCCCAGCCGCGGCAGCCUCCUUAGCUCUGGCCGCCGGACGAUCGAGGAGCAGUUCUUCUCUGCCAGGGUUCAGCCCGCGAUGGCCUCUUCCGCCGGCGAGGCCCGUCUCUCGACCUUAGAGGAACGUGUUGGAGUUGGCUUUUCUGUUUUCAGUUUGUGAGUGCAUCGGUGUGUUGGUUGCUUCUCCCUUCAAGGCUGUGCUCGGCUGGUGCUGGGCGCCUCUGCUGGCGGGGCGCACAGAAGCUGUUCGAUGAAUUAUCGGUCGUGCGUAUGCCUGUUUUCUUAAUCUGCAGAGCUCUUGGAAUUCGUUCUAACGUUGGAUUUUGUUGAGGCCAGCUCCCGGGAAUGAGUUCUAGAGCUCAAAAAUGUGAUUUUUUGCUGGUUAAUUGCUUCUCUCACAGGAAAUGAGGGCAUCCUAACAGUGGAUAUUCGUGUGGACUUCGGAAUUGGGUCAUCGUACGCAUGCUUAUUUGUCGUUUUGCAAAAUUGAACAGUGAAUUAUUUGUAUGCAUCAGCAACCAGAACAACCAGGCUUGCCAUAAGAAGCAUGGUAUUCUUACAAACAAAACUAGUGGGAUGAUCUUGAGCGAUGCCAAAUUCACUGCUAAGCAAUUCGCAGAGCUGUCGGAUCUCAUCUUCUGAUCAAGGUUGCUAGUUCUAACAGCCCAAAAUUGGCAGCUGAGGAAUCUAACCUGACUGUGCUUGUUUUGAGCAUAUUGUUCAGUAUUUUGCUGCAUUUUGCUAAGAAGCGAAAGGUCUGCUCUAGUGGGUUGUUAAUCUUUGAAGUGGCUAAUUCCAAGGGAGUGACACUUGAUGUGGCAAUUAGAUGCAGUUAUUCAAUGCGUGAAGUUGAUAUGAAGCAUGCAAAAACGAAUGAGCUCAUAAAUGAACAUACGAAGAUAGAGGAUUACCUGCAUGUAAACCAUGGGGGAGAACUGCAACUCUGGACCAAGCACCUUAUCUGGUACCAGGAGCCUCCAACGCGACGACGACGACUCCACGUCCAGCCACUCACCCAGCGUCCUUGUACACCUAGCUUCGAUGAUCCUCAGCCCACAGUCAUUGCACUUGAUCAGUGGACGUCCACUCUCCGCCCUCCGAAUUCGUCCAGCCAUGGGAUAGCAGAUGUUGAGCCACAAGAACAUGGGAUUUUUUAGGUCGGCAAUGGUGAUACCAUCAGUGAUCUCACUUUGAUUGAAGUAGUACACAGCCCUCAGGUAGUGCAGCUUCAUGAUGAGGUCCAUAUUGGUGAGUUCAUGCAGGACAGCAUUGCCGGUCACCGUCGCAGGCACCACAGUCGAUAUCCUGUGAUCGUAGAUGACAGUCUUUUCCUGUUCAACACCCAUGACCUGGUCUUAGAGGAGACUAGAGAAAGCUGAGGAGGAGAAAGAGACUAGCAGUUUGUAGGUCACACAUUUUUGGAGACUUGGCUCAGCAUACGAUAUAUAGAGAAGGAUCGGAGGCAGGAAGCUGGGGUGGUGUGGGAGGUGAGCAACUAUUGUGACGGCAUUUUAAAUGGCUGCAUUGGUUGAUGGGACCCUGAAAAUGAACAUAAAGAUAGGAAAGCAUGAUCAGUUGGUUGGCACUAAAUUAAUUGGCGAUGACAAAGAUUACCACAUCGCGGUGCAAAGUACUCCCAGUGACAUGCAAACUUCUUCAGAUACAAGAGAUGGGGGCUUCCUAAUGUUAUUCCUUGAGGCAACUGAGAUGACAGUGAAAUAACAGUGUUGCUCGAACCCUCAAAUGGACGGAAAUGGAGGAAUGCAAGGUGGAUAAACAAGGAGUGGAAUAACAGUGUUCUUCUGGUCAGAUCGAGUGUGGUGGAUCUUAAGAUUUGAGCUCCAUUUCCUAAAUAUAGACAAACCUGGUUACAAAUUUGAAGUUGCUACAGUUUCUGAGAUAUGGAGAUGGGAGUUUGAUCAGAAGAGAAAGUUGUAUGUAACAUUGGAGUUCCGAGUUUCUCACGGUGAAUGAAGACGGAGGUUCUCACGUGAAGUGCUUAGUGCUUAAUAAUUAGCCCACCAUUAAUGCAGUCCCUACUCACCUGCCUAUGCUGCUGUUCUAUGGCCCUUUCAUGCCCAGUCCUUUACCCCCUUGCUCCAUUCUUUGAUCAAAGUGUUCAUGGCUUCACUGAUGCUUUUAAUCCUGUAUCAUAUGUGGGAGGACAGUUGAGUUGGGUUUACAAGAUCAGAGGCAGUAAGCAAUCAUUAAUCUGAGCAUAAAUAUUUUGGAUUAGUACCAUCAUUGGAUUGGAUUUCUACCAAAUAAAAUAAAUUGGAGCACACGUAGACGUCCCAAUUUGUCUCUGAACCCGAAUCAGUAAUCACCAAAGCACAAAGAAUGUAUCAAGAAAAGCCUUCUGAUGCAGGUCCUGAGUGGUUGCAGCUGUUAUGAAUGAGGAUGGUGACGGUGUCCAUUGUUGCUUGCUUGAUUAAGCGAGUAUGUCGUAGAUCUAAUCAUUGAAAACUAUGCAUGUUUAGGUGAGGCCCUUCAAUAAUUGUGGUCUCCUUUGGGCUGUCGAGGAAGGUGGUUAACUGACUUAACUGGACAACCUCUUCUUUGAGCUCAUCAUUUUUUCUCUGCCUGACUUGGAACUAUUAGGGUGGAAACUUGAAGGGCUGGAGAAAGUGAGGUGAUGUCUUUUCCUUGACAUGAAGAGCUGUUUCAAGGAUAAGACAAGAGACAUGUCACUGAUGCUGAUGUGACUGCUUAUUUUUAAUAAGUAUGAUGUGCAGUGUAGCUCACCAGAAGAUAACAACAUUGUUGCUUACUUGUAUUAUUAAUUAAAGCAGCCACUGGAGUGGUUGUGUCUAUGUUAUGUAGAGGACAUUCAAGAACAUGCAACAGUUGCUGUCACCUUAUUUGGAUGUGCAAUGAAUGAUGCUUGGUGAAGUUAAAACAUUUA